rnacentral:rRNA from 1 species
GACGAACGCUGGCGGCGUGCUUAACACAUGCAAGUCGAACGGAAAGGCCCUGCUUUUGUGGGGUGCUCGCGUGGCGAACGGGUGAGUAACACGUGAGUAACCUUCCCUUGACUUUGGGACAACUUCAGGAAACUGGGGCUACUACCGGAUAGGAGCUCCUGCUGCAUGGUGGGGGUUGGAAAGUUUCGGCGGUUGGGGAUGGACUCGCGGCUUAUCAGCUUGUUGGUGGGGUAGUGGCUUACCAAGGCUUCGACGGGUAGCCGGCCUGGGAGGGUGACCGGCCACAUUGGGACUGAGAUACGGCCCAGACUCCUACGGGAGGCAGCAGUGGGGAAUAUUGCACAAUGGGCGGAAGCCUGAUGCAGCAACGCCGCGUGCGGGAUGACGGCCUUCGGGUUGUAAACCGCUUUCGCCUGUGACGAAGCGUGAGUGACGGUAAUGGGUAAAGAAGCACCGGCUAACUACGUG